rnacentral:rRNA from 1 species
ACUCCUGCGGGAGGCAGCAGUGGGGAAUUUUGGACAAUGGGCGAAAGCCUGAUCCAGCAAUGCCGCGUGAGUGAAGAAGGCCUUCGGGUUGUAAAGCUCUUUUGUCAGGGAAGAAACGGUGAAAGCUAAUAUCUUUUGCUAAUGACGGUACCUGAAGAAUAAGCACCGGCUAACUACGUGCCAGCAGCCGCGGUAAUACGUAGGGUGCAAGCGUUAAUCGGAAUUACUGGGCGUAAAGCGUGCGCAGGCGGUUUUGUAAGUCUGAUGUGAAAUCCCCGGGCUCAACCUGGGAAUUGCAUUGGAGACUGCAAGGCUAGAAUCUGGCAGAGGGGGGUAGAAUUCCACGUGUAGCAGUGAAAUGCGUAGAUAUUUGGAGGAACACCGAUGGCGAAGGCAGCCCCCUGGGUCAAGAUUGACGCUCAUGCACGAAAGCGUGGGGAGCAAACAGGAUUAGAUACCCUGGUAGUCCCAU